AAAAAGACAAACCCUGAGUUUUCGUGUCCAACUUUAACUGUCCGUCUUAUAUAAAAAAAAUUUAUAAUUCGUAUUUUUAUUGUUGUUAGAUGAUAAAACAUGAUUAAUACUUUGUGCGUGACUUGUCUUUUUAAUUUUUUUUAUAAUUUUUUCAAAUAAGACGGACAGUCAAACGUCGGGUACGGAAACCAGAGUUUGUCUUUUUU
rfam:Oryza glumipatula chromosome 1, whole genome shotgun sequence.